rnacentral:rRNA from 1 species
AGAGUUUGAUCAUGGCUCAGAACGAACGCUGGCGGCGUGGAUUAGGCAUGCAAGUCGAACGAUCCCGCAAGGGAUAGUGGCGAAAGGGUGCGUAACACGUGGGCAAUCUGCCCUCGAAACGGGAAUAACUUCGGGAAACCGAAGCUAAUACCUGAUGACACCGAGCUGCCGCAUGGUGGCACGGUGAAAGGCGUCCGCAAGGGUGCCGAUCGGGGAUGAGCCCGCGGCCUAUCAGCUAGUUGGUGAGGUAACGGCCCACCAAGGCGAUGACGGGUAGCCGGCCUGAGAGGGUGGUCGGCCACAUUGGGACUGAGACACUGCCCAGACUCCUACGGGAGGCUGCAGUCGAGGAUCUUCCGCAAUGGGGGAAACCCUGACGGAGCGACGCCGCGUGGAGGAUGAAGGCCUUCGGGUCGUAAACUCCUGUCAGUCUGGAAGAAAAUCUGCAGCAAUGUGGAUUGACCGUACAGGCAGAGGAAGCUCCGGCUAACUCCGUGCCAGCAGCCGCGGUAAUACGGAGGGAGCGAGCGUUGUUCGGAAUCAUUGGGCGUAAAGGGCAUGUAGGCGGCUCUGUAAGUCGGGUGUGAAAUCCCAUCUCUCAAGGGUGGAACGGCAUUCGAAACUGCAGGGCUUGAGUUCGGGGGAAGAGAGUGGAAUUCUCGGUGUAGCGGUGAUAUGCGUAGAUAUCGAGAAGAACACCAGCGGCGUAAGCGGCUCUCUAUCCUGAAACUGACGCUGAGGUGCGAGAGCCAGGGGAGCGAACGGGAUUAGGUACCCCGGUAGUCCUGGCCAUAAACGAUGUGCACUUGGUGUUGGGCCGCGAGGCUCAGUGCCGAAGCUAACGCAUUUAGUGCACCGCCUGGGGAGUACGACCGCAAGGUUGAAACUCAAAGGAAUUGACGG